AUUGAACGCUGGCGGCAUGCCUUACACAUGCAAGUCGAACGGCAGCAUGGAGAGCUUGCUCUCUGAUGGCGAGUGGCGAACGGGUGAGUAAAGCAUCUGAACGUACCGUGUAGUGGGGGAUAACGUAGCGAAAGUUACGCUAAUACCGCAUACGCACUGAGGUGGAAAGCAGGGGAUCGUAAGACCUUGCGCUAUACGAGCGGCCGAUGUCAGAUUAGCUAGUUGGUAGGGUAAAGGCCUACCAAGGCGACGAUCUGUAGCGGGUCUGAGAGGAUGAUCCGCCACACUGGGACUGAGACACGGCCCAGACUCCUACGGGAGGCAGCAGUGGGGAAUUUUGGACAAGGGGGGCAACCCUGAUCCAGCCAUGCCGCGUGAGUGAAGAAGGCCUUCGGGUUGUAAAGCUCUUUCGGCCGGGAAGAAAUCGCACAGGCUAAUACCCUGUGUGGAUGACGGUACCGGCAUAAGAAGCACCGGCUAACUACGUGCCAGCAGCCGCGUAA
rnacentral:rRNA from 1 species